CCUGCUGGGAUAGAAGCUCCUUUGAAGCCUGAGUCUGGAAGCUGGUACAGGUUGCUUAGGUACAGGCUGAGCUCCUGAGGAGCUGUGGGGAUGUACAUGAGGAAAGGAGAGGGUUUUCAGCCUAAACUAUUAGAGUAAUUUGUGAUGUGACUGCUGAGUAGCGUUGUGGGGAGUGGGGGCUCCAUGUCUUCUUCAACCUUAAUUAAAGAUAAUCCAAAUUCAUGGUUUCUAACUACACGUGGAGGAUGGCUUAGUAUUGCUAACGCUAUGCAGUGUUUGAAGCUGAGAAGUUCCUCAAGUUCCAGGACAGCAUGAGCCAGCAUCCCCUUGCAGUGCCACUGAUGGGGAAUGGACUUCUUCAAUGCUGCUCCAGAGCCACUGGGACGUAGAGUCUUAAGGACAGGAAAAUGUGGUUGCAGAGAGAUCCCAAACAACAUCCUCAAUGUGCAGGCAGCAGCCACUGAUCCUCACGGAACAAACACGUCCCCCUUCCAACCUGAGAGACAACACAGGGUUCUUUGAUUCCUCCUAAUUGCAUUUCAGUGUUUGUGGUCCAGUUGUACUGUUUCUGCAGAAGUUCAGCAAUUUUGGUUGCUGGCUUCCUCUCCGCGCUGACCUACAAAUACCAGUUUUCAGGGAAAGAUUUAUGAGCAGCAUGAAAUUACCGUCUUGUAAAAGCACAAAUCAUGGCUAUAAAUAGGGGUCUGGAAUAUGUGCAGAAACCCGGAGGGAAUGGAGACUCUUGCUUUGUCUGUGCAGGACAGCCCUGCUAACCAGGUUCAGGAGCCCGGUGCUCUGACUCUUGUAAGCUGGCACAGUGCCCACCAACCUUCCACUAAUCCCUAUCCCUGCAAGGAUGGAAAUAACAUCUGGCCAGGCUGACAUUGCUCAGGCUUUAUAGCAACUGAGAGCUCUGAAAACUGAACCUUCUCAAGCCUCGUAUGCAUUUAUCUUCCUUUCCAGAACAUUAGUAGGCAAAGUUUGUUUUCAGUGAGUUAUUUAGCAGAAAGAGGGAUUAGACCGAGGGCUAGCAUUGAUUAACCCCUGCACGUUGAGUUGUUUAACAGCAUAAUGGAUUAGUCAUGUUUGCUGGUGACCUUUUGUCAAUCGAAUCCCUCAUCUGAAGUCUCUUCUGUCUUUCUAAAUACACAUACGCUUAGGAGUGGAAUCUGUACUAAAAUAUCCCUAAAAUGAAUACCUAGCUUAGCAUAGCACAGGUCUAGGGUGAAUAGUCCUGGAGUUUCUGAUCUUAGUUUGACAUUGUGUGAGUUAAGCUAUGGGUACCCCACUUCUGUCACUGGCUGCUUUGCAUUGCCCAUAGAAUGGAUCAAAGUGUUUGCAGAGUCCUGCCUGAAAGCCACGUAUGGGGCACAGAUAGCCUGCCUAGAAAGGCAGUGCCGGAAAAGGACUGAAUUUUCUAUGGGAUUUGGAAAUCAGAUCACUGUAAUGCUUGGUGGUUAAGUGGUCAGCUUCAUUUAAAGGAAGGUGGAGCUUCAAUGCCUUUAGGGCUAUGUCAAUCUAAAUUGGCUGGGCAUCUGAUGUAGAUAGUAUGCAGUUCUACUCCUGAAGCUAGGGACUGAGGGGGAGAGAAGCUGCUUGCUGAGGCCAGGCAUGACCCCAGUGCGACAUCUCCAACAGCAAUAAGAUUGGAUCUUCAAAGAGAUGCGAAGUGCUGGUGGAUUCAUCUGCAUGGCUGAUGAAAAUGUGUGGCCAAACUGCCUUGGAUUUGCAUGGAGAGGUGUCUGAGGAGGAAUGGCCAGCCAACCUGAAAUUUCAGAUGGCUGGAAAAAAAAAACCACCAGCUCUUAGAGCAUAUCAUCCUCCAAACAGACAUCGUGUUUCUGCUGUAGGAGUAUAAUGGGCACACGGAUGCUGCAACCUGGAAAUCCAACAGAAGCGAGGCUGUCAGGUUUGUCCCAGAGUUACCCAAACUGGAAAUCUCAUCAGUGGGAAGAGGGACUGAAGUCACCGUGGGGACUCGUGGCAAGGUGCUGGUGCGUCUGAGAAGGUGGCUUACUGGAAACACUGAACGGACAGAAGUAAAAAUGAGUCAUGUCAGAGACCACUCGGCAGCUGGACAGGGUUCCUUGAGUGAUUCAUCCACAAAAAUGACUGCUUUGCCUGACGUUUUCUUUCCCCUCUCUAUUUAGAAAGUCACUUAGACUGCCGUGGCUGUGGUCCGUUGUCUGGAUUGUUUUUUUGAUGGCUGGGUGGUACGCAUAGCAUCCUUGUAUUCUCAUCAUUUCUAAACCACUACUUCAACCAGGGGGGAAAAAAGACACAACCAAAUUAAGGGCUCUGUCACUCCAGAAGCCCUCAGUGGAAUGAACCUGUAAUCUUAGGAAAUCAAAGGGGAAUCUAGGGAAUGUGUCAUUUUUAGUGUCUUUAAGGCAGCAAAAUUACAAGCGAAAAUAGCUGCCUAUAAAUUGUGUUACAAGGUUAAUUGACAGGAAUAUUGGAGAAGGGCAAGUCUGGAUGAAAGCCUGUGGGUCUGAACUGCUCUAUUUCAGGGGGAGGUCUAAAGAAAGAACCAUCACCUGAUGCAACCAAACUGUACCGGGAUGCUUCUGUCGGUUACUAGACCUCAGCAGAGGAAUUCAGAAGUGACGCUGCUCUGUGGCCCUGCUGCGACCAGGCAUUCUUGUGAAAUGCACUCAGAUUUUUUCAGGGUUACUGAGCUGCAGAAACCAGCAGUGGAAAAGGUCUCUGUGGUCUCUAUCAGCCCACUGAUGGCGGAGCAGGACCCUUCCCGACCACGCAGAGUUCAGUCCAGACCAAUCUGAUGUGAUUCAUGCCACUGGAUUUCUCACAGCUUCCUUUGGGAAAUCUAAUUGACUUUCCAUGACUGAGGAGAUCUUAACGUACAGAUCAUUUCCCUUCUGCCUUAGACUGAAUUUUACGACACUUAAUUUCCAUCCCAUUCUCAUUCGAGCCGCAAACUCCACCUGUGAGGUGCUGUACCCUCCCAUAGAUACAAGCAGCACGCUCAGGUGGCACGGGCUGCAAGAAUUAUGUCAGCUUUUGACAGCACAGAGCUCAGGAACUGCCGAGAUGAAAAGGCACCAUCAGCUGCAGAGUGGGUACUCGUAAGUGUGGACUGCCACACUUGCAAAAGUAAUUCCACAUCCUAUGGGUUAAGAUUUACAACUUCCAGUUUCUUAUUCAGCUCGAUAUGCCAAGAUUUCCAGCAAUUUGUUUCAGGUUUGGGACGCUCCUGGGAAGGAUUCCAGCUCGUCUCUGAUUAAGCAAGAGGGCAUCUUGAAGAAUGUAAUUAGCUAAUUGUGGUAGGGGAAAAUGAAAUGCAGGCUUCUUCUUGGUAUGACACAAAGCUUGCUUAUACUUAGAAGCCACCGAAGCUGAUCUUUAGUAAUAGCAGAUAACUGUGCAUGGAAUACUUGGUAAAACCAGCGUGAUGAACACUCGAAGAGGCUGGUAAUAGGAAAGAUUGGUGGAUGCGAUCACAGUUACAUUUUGGGGAAUGUAAGAUAGCAGGGAGGUGGGACACCUCAUUUCUGGAAAAUGAGCUACCCCAGCAAAGCUGCUCAUCAGCAUUCCUGGAAUAGCAAUGAGAAGCAAUUACUGGGGAAAAGUAUGUCCUAGUGACCACUGUUAACGUGCAAAAAGCAGAGAGGCAUGGGCUGCAAGCUGUCAUCUGCUCGUUUGUGUCCUGUCCAUCCCCUUUCAUCCCUGGGGAAAAUGCUGAAAGCCUUUCUUGUGGAGGCACUUGAAAAUAAACUCCGCAGUGGUCUAGAUGGAAAUAUUUCUCAUGGCACGCAAGGCUGGCCCUGGGAGCCAGUGGGGAAUUGAGGACCUGUACGCAAGCCUUGCGGCUAAGGGCUCACCUCUCAUCUUCAGACAUGAUUACGAUGGACAAACUAGAGCUCAAAACUGAGUUUUGUAGCCUGUACUCAGCAAAGCCCGUGUUAGGGUCACGCAGAGUUUGAGGGACUUAGGAAUACCUCCAUUUUUUUGACCCUUGUGAAGAUCAUAGGGUAAGUUACGGGUCCUUGGGCCUUAACGUAAAGCUUUCUGCAGCAUCAAGGGUUAUCUGCCUGAAGUCUAGACAGAUGAUAUAGGGGUUAGCCUGGGGCACUGGCCACAGAUCACAGUGAGGAAAUGAAAGGCAGGGAUAAGGAGAGGGAAGAGCAGCUCUCCUGCCGAUCUCUCAGGAUGACACUAGAUGCGGAGAGGAGCUCGAUGGAAGGUGAGCUGAGUUCAUCCUUUGCAGGCACCGUGGUGUGAUUUCUGUCCCUGUGCUUAAUAUCAAUUCUGCUCAAACACAAGGCUUGGAGUUGUUCGCACCGAACUGAGGAGAAGGCAACAACGCUGGAAAAAGAGGAGGAGUGGAAAGUCUGCUCGCUUCAUAAUGCUAUUUCCUCUAUUAAACAAGCCUCUUUGACUAUGAAACAUUGAAGCGUGCAAAAAAACAAGCCCCACCUUGUGCUGGCUGCUCGCUCCCCUGAUGGGGUUUGUCCUGGUGCCACCUCAUGGCAAAAGUCAGAUCUGAAUUUCCAACAGAAUGGCUGAAGCCUGGAAGAACGGGCCGCCCGGCUCCCAGCCUUGCAAAGCCAAUGCAGGUGUUUAAUGCUGGAGUGGUGCUAAUUUUAGUCUUGUUUUGCAACUUCUCUUUCCAUGAGAGAAAAAUCUGAAGUGCAGGGAGUAUUUCUAACGGAGUGUUUUGCAUCUGGGGGGGGUACCUGUCCCAGAAAUCCAAGCUGAGAGGUGGGAGGUUGCAGGUUGGUAUUGUGACUUCAGCAUCAUGCACUUGGUACAGGUUGAGUUGGGGAUGGAUGCAACAGCCUUACAUCCUUACAAAGAGUACAGGUACGUUAUCUGAUUGGAGAGGAAGGAGGGGAAUUCUUUUUACAGACCGUGUGCUGCCCUUGAAUAGUAUUUGGAAUAAUUCCUGAUAGCGUUUGCCUUUCCUGGUUACUCAUGCAACAGCUCAAGCAGCUCUAAGAGUUUCAUUCUCAGCCUGUUCUUGGCAGGUGGUCAUAGGAUUUAACUUAUUAUCAGUGCAACCUGGAGUUUUGCUGAUUAUCCCAAUAUUUACUUUUGAAUCAUAGACUGUUUUGGUGGAGUGCACGUGUCUGACUGCUUUCAUGGCACAUAAAUGAUGAGCAAUUUGUUUUACCUACGUGUCCCCAUGGUGUGGAAAGCUCACCAACAUCUCCAUUCAAUAACCAACAGUUAGCUGAGCUCAAGAUGCAUUUAAUCGUAAAAAAUAUGGUUAUGAAGAGCUGCCAUUCCCUGGAGAUAUUUGGCCAUCCACAACUGCUGCAGUCGGUGUUGGCUAUUGGGAUGUUACC